GACGAACGCUGGCGGCGUGCUUAACACAUGCAAGUCGAACGGAAAGGCCCUGCUUUUGUGGGGUGCUCGAGUGGCGAACGGGUGAGUAACACGUGAGUAACCUGCCCUUGACUUUGGGAUAACUUCAGGAAACUGGGGCUAAUACCGGAUAGGAGCUCCUGCUGCAUGGUGGGGGUUGGAAAGUCUCGGCGGUUGGGGAUGGACUCGCGGCUUAUCAGCUUGUUGGUGGGGUAGUGGCUUACCAAGGCUUUGACGGGUAGCCGGCCUGAGAGGGUGACCGGCCACAAUGGGACUGAGAUACGGCCCAGGCUCCUACGGGAGGCAGCGGUGGGGAGUAGUGCACAAUGGGCGGAAGCCUGAUGCAGCAACGCCGCGUGCGGGAUGACGGCCUUCGAGUUAUAAACCGCUUUCGCCUGUGACGAAGCGUGAGUGACGGUAAUGGGUAAAGAAGCACCGGCUAACUACGUG
rnacentral:rRNA from 1 species